GAUGAACGCUGGCGGCGUGCCUAAUACAUGCAAGUCGAGCGGACGGACGAGAAGCUUACUUCUCUGAUGUUAGCGGCGGACGGGUGAGUAACACGUGGAUAACCUACCUAUAAGACUGGGAUAACUUCGGGAAACCGGAGCUAAUACCGGAUAAUAUUUUGAACCGCAUGGUUCAAAAGUGAAAGACGGUCUUGAUGUCACUUAUAGAUAGAUCCGCGCUGCAUUAGCUAGUUGGUAAGGUAACGGCUUACCAAGGCAACGAUGCAGAGCGGACACGAGAGGGUGAUCCGCCAGACGGGAACUGAGACACGGCCCAGACACUUACGGGAGGCAGCAGUAGGGAAUCUUCCGCAAUGGGCGAAAGCCGAAUGGAGCAACGCCGCGUGAGUGAUGAAGGUCUGCGGAUCGUAAAACGCUGUUAUUAGGGAAGAACAUAUGUGCAGGCAACUGUGCACAUCUUGACGGUACCUAAUCAGAAAGCCACGGCUAACUACGUG
rnacentral:rRNA from 1 species